GCCCAAGACUCCUACGGGAGGCAGCAGUGAGGAAUAUUGGUCAAUGGCCGAGAGGCUGAACCAGCCAAGUCGCGUGAGGGAAGACGGCCCUACGGGUUGUAAACCUCUUUUGUCGGGGAGCAAAGCGAACCACGUGUGGUUCAUUGAGAGUACCCGAAGAAAAAGCAUCGGCUAACUCCGUGCCAGCAGCCGCGGUAAUACGGAGGAUGCGAGCGUUAUCCGGAUUUAUUGGGUUUAAAGGGAGCGUAGACGGCAAUACAAGUCGGAAGUGAAAUACCCGGGCUCAACCUGGGAACUGCUUUGGAAACUGUAUGGCUAGAGUGCUGGAGAGGUAAGCGGAAUUCCUAGUGUAGCGGUGAAAUGCGUAGAUAUUAGGAGGAACACCGGUGGCGAAGGCGGCUCACUGGACUGUAACUGACGUUGAGGCUCGAAAGCGUGGGGAGCAAACAGGAUUAGAUACCCUGGUA
rnacentral:rRNA from 1 species